rnacentral:lncRNA from 1 species
AAUUAAAUGAAAAUAAAUGGUAAGCUCUUUUUGGAAUAUUUUUAUGACAUAAUCUAAAAUUAAAAAUAAAAUAAAUGGUAAACUCUUUUUUGGAAAUUUUAUGAUAUACUCUAAAAUUAAAAAUAAAAUAAAUGGUAAACUCUUUUUUGAAAAUUUUAUGAUAUAAUCUAAAAUUAAAAGAGAAAUAAAUGGUAAACUCUUUUUUUGGAAAUUUUAUGAUAUAAUCUAAAAUUAAAAGAGAAAUAAAUGGUAAACCUCUUUUUUGAAAUAUU